CAGAGCGAGACCCUGCCUCAGUAAAUAAAUAGUGAGAGACAUGUGACUCUUCCUUUCACUUGAACACUUAAAGACCAUUGUCGAGUUAUUAUUUGGCUUAAUUUCAAUAUUGUUGCACUGCAGGGAAUGGGAAUAGGGAGGCCAGAGGAGAGGGAGAGAGAGACAAGGGAGCUAUCUGUGGUGGAGCAGUCAGAACACACACAUUCAUGAAGUUUGCCUUCGUAUAUGGACAUGGUUCAUGGUGCCCCAAAACAAGGACAAUAGUAACAUCGAAGAUCACUGAUCACAGCUCACCAUCACGGACAUGAUCAUUUCAAAAAGUUUGAGACAUCGUGAGAAUUACCAGACGUAACAGAGACACAAAGUGAGUGCGUGCAGCUGGGAAAACAGCACCGAUAGACUUGCUCAGCGCAGGGUCGCUGCACACCUUCAACGUGUAAAGAAUGCAGUAUCUGCAAAGCGCAUAAAACAAGUGAUGACAAUGAGAAUUUUGGUGGCAUCCCCACGGGCCCCACGUGAGGCCUGGAACAAUUCGCGCCUAUCAGGAAAGAAGAGACCUUGGAGGCCUGUGAACAAAACCACACUAGCCCCUGGUGCCCUUGUGAAAAUGAGAAGAUGCCUUUUCCUUCGGGAGGUCCUAGUCCCACCCAGAGGCCCAAGCUUGGCAAGGGUAUCACGGGCUGGAUUUCAGUCCCUGCCUGUCCCCUUCUCGUGGAGACAGAUGAGGCCCAAGGGAAGACCUGGGUGCUUUGGGACUGUGCCUGGAAGAAGUCAGGACUCACACGACUUUUUGGAUGGCAGUGGCCGUGUGUGUGAACCCUGUCAGCUGGUGAACAGAAGCCAACAGGUCGAGGGGGUUUGAGGUGCGCCUGAAUUCCUCGAAAGUGAAGUGUAUGUCGAAUUUACUGGAGAACUGCAUCAGGGAAAACUGGAAGAAGCACACAGGGCCGGGGCUGAGGCCAUUUCACCAGGAUCCAAGCACCUGCCCCCCCAGCAGCCUCCCUGCCCCAAAGGCACACCUGGGUGCUGGGUCUCUGGAACUGGUUUAUCACAGCUCUCACGAAGUUCAUCAUCUUGGCAAAGUUGCCAGAGGAGAUGCUGCCCGAGCCAUCAAUCAGGAACACAAUGUCCAGCUCCUGUCUUGGGCACUCUGGGGAAGGAGGUGGCACCGAUCCUCCAAGAGACACUCCCAAAGCCCAGGACUGUGGCCUCUUGGCCACAAGAGCUCACUCUCCCAAAACUCUUCCUCCCCUAAGCCCCUAGUCUGGCGAUGGGAGUCAGACUCCAUACCCUGGGUCCUUUCCUCAUCGGGGGCAGGACUUCCCUAACCCCCUGCCUGGAACAAGGCCCUUCAUUCUCUUAAAGUUGCAUAAAGAGGCUGUGAUAUGCCGGGCGCAGUGGCUGA